AUCCUGCCAAUUCCCCAUCAGGGGGUGGGACCUAAAUCUCCUCCCCUUGAAUCUGGGUGGGCUCAUUUUCUAGCUGUGGAUUUCACUGCUCAGAUCUCCCUUCGAGAAAUAACUUCCUGUUCAGCGUAAAGAAAGUGCUCAGCUGCUUGCUGUCCACACCUAAGUGCUGCUGCAUGACUUUCGGGAUGAGGCUGUGAAAGGCAAUGCAGCUCGCACGUUGUUUGCUAAACCCUCACUCUGGAAGCCUUCAGCUACCACGGAAGAAGCUCAGCUCCCCUGAGGCCGCCACACAGUGAAGAAGCCCAAACCAUCACUGGACUGAGACCACAUGGAGACCGGAAGCCAGUACUGCCCAGCUGAACUCACCCUGCAUUCCUGAUCCACUGAGACCUUGAGAGACGAAAUACUGCUGUUUUUUAAGUCACUAAGUUUGGGGCUGAUUUGUUACCCAGCAAUAAACAGCGGGCACAAGUGCCAUGUGGACUGUGGUAUGGGAGCCUGGGGCCUAUCAUUCCUCAUCAUCCUUAUGCAACUUUACCACCCUGCGGGAGCUCAACGCAGUAGGAGUUCCACGUGCAUUUGUCUCUGCUUCGUAUGCUCAGUGAGACCACAGAUAUGGGCCGGUUCUCAGCGGCCUGGAAGUACUCUUUCUAAUUAAAUCAUGAUGAGAAUCCAUUCUAAGACACCCUCCAAAUAUUUGUUGAUAAAAACAGAUGCUGCUUCUGAGGUUUUGGAUUAAAAUGGUGAGACUAUGAAACUCACAGUUAUGAGACCCCUCAUGUCAAAUAGGCAGAAAUGACUGUCCAUGAGAUAACUAGCUCCUGGCCAGUCUCAACGUAGCUAUGGAGACAUAGCAAUUAGUGCCAAGGACAGAGAGUCAUCCUUGUGUCUUCUUAGCCCACCCCAAAUCUUGAUUCUGAGCUGGGCAGACCUGGCUUUGAAUCCCAUCUUCACCCAUGUAACUGUAAUUCAGAUUGUAAAGCUGUUGGCAGAAUCCACCAGAGCGGAACAUAUGCAUUCCUUAUGAUCCAGCAGGUCUC